rnacentral:lncRNA from 1 species
GUGUGUGCGUGCGUGUGUGUGAGUGUGUGUGAGAGAGAGCUUUGCGGCUUACACGCUGUACGUAACAACAAAUAUAUAAAACAGAGAACGGAAAUGUAUUUAGAAGCAGUGUUAUGUGCGUAGCGGUGUUCCAUAGAUAGCUCAUCUACUUGCUUUGUUACCAAAGGGAGCACUGAAGGUUGGGUUCAGUCUGCAGGAAGGGAUGUGGACAGCAACGGAUGCUAGGGGAGACAGACACAUGGACUGCUUUUCCCAUCUCAUUUAAAAGCCAUCGUGGUGUGAGGGCAAUUACCUGUAACAGGCAGUGGGAGCCCAGCCCUUGGAAGAUUCUGUACAAAGUGAAGAAGCCCAGAGGCAGCCCAGGAGCGAUACUUUUUAAGGUGUUUUCCAUCAGUCCACAGGUGGUGGCUACACGGACAGGGGAUAAUGCUGGUACCUGCAACAGGAUGAAUGAAGUCAGAGGGAGUAUAAGUCCAUUUUCAUUUGAUCAUAGUUUCCUCUUUUUUUCAAUCUUAGCUGUCAAAGAGGCAAUCUUUUCCUUGUAAAGUGGAAGGAAGAUCUAAGCAAUACAAGACCUAUCUUCAAAAAUACAUACCAAGUGUCUUGAUGUUUGUUUUAAAGUAUAUUUAAACUUUGCAAGAAAAAAAAAAAACAAAACAACAACUUUCUGCUUUGAGGGUCUUCCCAUUCAAAAGACAAGCCAUCUACGAAGUCCUAACUGAAGCUAAUACUGUAAUUACAC